UACAGAGGGGGCGAGCGUUAUUCGGAAUUAUUGGGCGUAAAGGGCGCGUAGGCGGCCAUUCAAGUGACGGGUGAAAGCCCUCGGCUUAACCGAGGAACUGCCUGUCAGACUGGAUGGCUUGAGACCGGGAGAGGUGAGUGGAAUUCCCAGUGUAGCGGUGAAAUGCGUAGAUAUUGGGAGGAACACCAGUGGCGAAGGCGGCUCACUGGACCGGAACUGACGCUGAGGCGCGAAAGCGUGGGGAGCAAACAGG
rnacentral:rRNA from 1 species